AUUGAACGCUGGCGGCAGGCCUAACACAUGCAAGUCGAGCGAGCGGCGGACGGGUGAGUAAUGUCUGGGAAACUGCCUGAUGGAGGGGGAUAACUACUGGAAACGGUAGCUAAUACCGCAUACCAUCAGAUGUGCCCAGAUGGGAUUAGCUAGUAGGGGGGGUAACGGCUCACCUAGGCGACGAUCCCUAGCUGGUCUGAGAGGAUGACCCGGCACACUGGAACGGAGACAGGGUGCAGACUCCUACGGGAGGAAGCAGGGGGGAAUAUUGCACAAUGGGCGAAAGCCGGAUGCAGCAAUGCGGGGUGUGUGAAGAAGGACUGCGGGUUGUAAAGCACUGUAAGCGGGGAGGCGUUACCCGCAGAAGAAGCACCGGCUAACUCCGUGCCAGCAGCCGCGGUAAUUC
rnacentral:rRNA from 1 species